UACGCAGGGCGCAAGCGUUGUUCGGAUUUACUGGGCGUAAAGGGCGCGUAGGCGGCAAUUCAAGUCACUUGUGAAAUCCCCGGGCUUAACUCGGAACGGUCAAGUGAUACUGCUUUGCUAGAGUGCGGAAGGGGCAAUCGGAAUUCUCGGUGUAGCGGUGAAAUGCGUAGAUAUCGAGAGGAACACCUGAGGUGAAGACGGGUUGCUGGGCCGACACUGACGCUGACAGCGCGAAAGCCAGGGGAGCAAACGGG
rnacentral:rRNA from 1 species